rnacentral:rRNA from 1 species
GCAAGUCGAACGGUAACGACCGGUAGCAAUACGUGGGGCGACGGAGUGGCGCGACGGGUGCGUAACGCGUAUGCAACCUGCCCUCAACCGGGACACAACGCCGAGAAAUUGGCGCUAAUAUCCCAUGUGUACAGGAGACGGCAUCGUUUUUCUAUAUAAAGAUUCAUUGGUUGAGGAUGGGCAUGCGUAACAUUAGCUAGUUGGCGGGGUAACGGCUCACCAAGGCGACGAUGUUUAGGGGUUCUGAGAGGAUUCACCCCCACACUGGAACUGAGACACGGUCCAGACUCCUACGGGAGGCAGCAGUAGGGAAUAUUGGGCAAUGGAGGCAACUCUGACCCAGCCAUGCCCGCGUGAAGGAAGACGGCCCUAUGGGUUGUAAACUUCUUUUGCCGCAGAGUAACCGCGGGGACGCGUCCCCGCCUGAGAGUAUGCGGCGAAUAAGUAUCGGCUAACUCCGUGCCAGCCGCCGC